rnacentral:sRNA from 12 species
CCUCAGGAGAGUUAUAUCAAACUGAAGUAGCUUUUAGCAAAACAGGACUCUAUGAAUAAGGAA